rnacentral:rRNA from 1 species
CCUACGGGAGGCAGCAGUGAGGAAUAUUGGUCAAUGGGCGGAAGCCUGAACCAGCCAAGUAGCGUGCGGGAUGAAGGCCCUACGGGUCGUAAACCGCUUUUGCACGGGGAUAACACCCUCCACUUGUGGAGGUCUGCAGGUACCGUGCGAAUAAGGGCCGGCGAAUUCCGUGCCAGCAGCCUCGGUAAUACGGAAGGCCCGAGCGUUAUCCGGAUUCCUUGGGCUUAAAGGGGGCGUAGGCGGGCGUUCAAGUCAGCUGUAAAAUCGCGCGGCUCAACCGCGCCCCGCAGUUGAAACUGGACGCAUUGAGUUCACAACAGGCAGGCGGAAUUCGUGGUGUAGCGGUGAAAUGCAGAGAUAGCACGAGGAACCCCGAUUGCGAAGGCAGCCUGCCGGGGUGCGACUGACGCUGAGGCUCGAAGGUGCGGGUAUCAAACAGGAUUAGAUACCCGAGUAGUC